AUGAGGCCAGGAAGCCCCAGCAACAGUGACCACCCAAGCUCUAGAAAAUAUUGGACGGGGUGGAUGAACACCCAAGCGCGCUCCAGGAGAAGGGAUUUGGCACCCCAAUGGGCUUUUAAAACGCCAACAAGAAAAUGCGGUGCAGUGUUGGCAGCUGAGCUGAGCCCGAGGAGACGCAGGGAGACGUGACAGAGGAAAGUGUGAGUUGCCGGGGGGCCCUCCCCCCGUCAGAAGCCUCCCAGUCGCGCCCACAAAACGCCCGCCCUCCGGGCGGCUAGGGCAGGUGAGCGCGUCCCUCGGCCUCCCCACGCCGGCCCCUGCCACAGGCCGUCUGGGUCGCGCAGAUAUUUACAGAAUAAAAAUGACAAUAACUCGACGCCCGGGACGGCCACGCAAUCUGUUAGCAAUUUAGCGGGAUGGGAAUUUCCUUUCUAGGGCCUGCCAGUGAAGCGCUUUUCCAAAUUUCCACAGCGGGGGAAGCCUGCGAUUUUACAUAAUGACUUCAGCAUGCCGGGCUUUCUCCGCACCCCUCCCCUGCCCCCGCCCCCGCCCCCCGCCCCUUUUCCAGCAGGGCCGGGCUCUCUCCGGACACCCGCGUGGACUCAGGCGUCCCGUCUGGCCCGUUCGCCCCCGUUUCCCCCGCCAGCCCCA
rnacentral:lncRNA from 1 species